rnacentral:lncRNA from 1 species
AUGGCGACUGAAAACGCUGAGACCAACGCGGGGAAUGAUGAGGAGACCGUUCCCCCUUCCGAGACAAACGAGCACGACUAUGCCCACGCCUCCGCGGCCGCUAACUUAAGUUCCAUGGAGGCGACCUCAUCCUCAGGUACACCGGCGGCUGACGGUGGAGUCACCCCACAGGAAAGCUUUACAACGGUGGCUGAACCCGAGUGUAGUUUGCCGGGGCAGCCCACCCUGCAGGUGGAGCUUCCCGAACCUGUCGUGGGUGCGGAGGUGGACUGCCCCGGUGGAAAUGAUGUGGAGGAUUCUCCUCCGCCAGAGGCCGAGGAGGACCCACAGAAGAUAGAAGCUUCUGAACUGGGUACUACUGUCCCUCCAGCUGUGCGAGGUGGCCGCCGGCGUCCCAAGCGGCCGGAGGACAAGAACUGCUCCGCCUGCAAGUCUGAGUUUGAGCGGCAGGGCCGUAGCUUCAACAGGAGAGCGGUGUACACCUUCACCACCCCGGAGACGGUGCAGUGGACCUUCCCGGACGCCUCCGUGCACGACAAGUCCUUCCUAUGUGAGACCUGCGCUCAGGUCAUCAGGAGCAGAUGCAAACGCAGGCAGAGCGGAAAGAGGACCCUGUGGGUGAAACCGCCGCAGACAAAACAGUCAGAGGUGAGAGACAAGAAGAAGAAAGGCCGCAGGAUGGGGAAGAAGAGCAAAGCAGCACUGCUGGUGAGCAAGUCCUGCUACAAGGCUGCUUUCAAAAUGUUGUGGUCAGCCAAAGGUGCACGGAAGCCCAUGAUGGAGUUCUGGAGCAAGCAGCUGAAAGAGGAGAUGAAGGCGCUGACGCGGCAGACGGACAAUCCAUUCCAUCAGAAGGUGUCGAGCAGGAAGCCGCUGUCGUCCUUCCCAUGGCGGCGCUGUCUGAACUGGGCCCAGGACAAGGCUCCACUCGUCACCUCCUGCCUCACCUCGCUGUUCCCCGACAUCAACACUCUCUCAAAGAGCAGCAACCAGAUGUCAGAGGAACAGGCCCAGACGCUGCUGGAGCGCAGGACCGUGGUGGCGCUCUCCAUCCCGCUCUUCACCAGGAACAUCUGGAAGAAUAAUUUCCUGCAGGCCGCUCUGGGGGCAGAGCUCCGCCUGCAGGGCUGCUCUGGCUCUGCUCUCGACGCUCUCAACACCAUGGGACUAUGUCAGAACAAAGACACCGUCAGGUUACUGCUGCACAGACUCCGGAACGGCAAGAAGGCGCCAACACAGAACGGACGACAGAGGAUGAAGAUGAAACUAGAGCAGCUGAAAGGAGAACAGAUGACAGACGCGGAGGAGGAGGAGGAUAUUGAGGAGGAGGAGGAGGAGGAGGAAGAAGAGGAUGAAGAGGAUGAGGAGGAGGAGGAGGAGGUAGAAGAAGAAGAGGAAGAUGAUGAUGAUGACGAGGAAGAGGAGGAGGAAAUGGAGAUGGCGGUAGAGGAGGUGGAAGUGGAAGAAGUGCCGGUGGGAGUGGAAGAGGAGGAAGAUCAAGCCGUGGAGGAAAAGGCAGAGAUAGAAAAGAAGAGGAGGAAGAAGAAGGCGAAGAAGCUGAGGAAGGAGGAGAAGAGGAAGGAGAGAGGGAAGCGUAAAGUAAAGGAGAGGGAGGGGGAGGAGGAUGAUGAAGGGUCGGAGCAGAAGAAGAGGCGGGUUGUGGUGGUGAGGCUCGGCCUCCUGAAGGGACACUCAGAAGUCGGACGAUCCGACCUAUCGGCUCCCUAAGACUGUAGGCUCCGCCCAUGAACUAAAUAACCCCAACCUCCAAUCAGAGAGCAGUACAGACGUCCCGCCCUCUUCUCUGGGAGGUGUUGAAAAGGGAUUCUGGGAAUUGUAGUAGGUCAGUAACUGGAGGGAAACUAAUGACAGCUUUACUUUAUAUUGUAACUUUGAGCAGAAAUGAGUUGAUUUGAUCUCAGAAAAGCCUCAAACACAAAACUGCUCCCCUGAAACUGAGUCUAACAGUAACAUGGCCACAGCUGAUUGAUCACUCGAUUAUCUGCAUCGUUUUAACCCCUGAUGGUCGUGUGUCUCAGGAUAACUGGAUCUCAAAAACAACCAACUUCCUCUUUUGUUACACCUUCCAUGUAUGAUGGUAGCGGUUUCAAAAACACAUUUUGGUAACGUUUUGUUUUAUACGUCCCAUCAUAUCCUAGUAAUUUACUAGAAAGUAACUGAUUUCUGGACAGAACUACGCAAUUUGGUACUAAAUGUGAGUACUAGGUCCAAGGGGCUAAUGUCAUAAUAAUUUGGAAAAAGGCACGUUACAAGAAGAAUUUAAUUUCAGAAGAAGAAGCCUCACUGUCUUUAUCAGUUUAAUCCGCAGAUUAUUUUCUAGAUUAAUCGAUCUAUAAAAUGUCAGAAAAUCUUAAAUAAAUCCAUCCCGUUAUAUUUUGACGUUUCGAUUCUUUUAAGACGUUAGCCGUUCUUCAACAGUUACGAGUACGAGGCUAACUUUCUUCUUGAAAUGAUUAUUGAAUAUGUUUACUCUCAGAAUAUUUCCGUAUAGUUAGUACCAAAUUGCCGGUGGUAUUUUUCAACUGAGGGUGAAGACUAGUUCAUGUGGAAAGUAUAAGAGGGAAGAAAAAGAGUUUCAGGGAGGCAGAGCGACCCCAAACAUGGCUUGAAAAAAAAAGCCACCAAUAAAUGUGUAAAUGUUAAAUUAGCUGACAGGACGGUUACAGACCUGCAGCACAAGUCUGUUUCAAUAUGUCCAUCCAGCUGCUGGAUGAUGGAAGUAACAGGCGGGGAAAUGUGUUUUAAUCCUGUUUGGGGUUAAAAUUCAUUAUUAAAAGUCACUGCAGCUCAGAGCAGGAACAGAACAUGGUUUGAUUUUCAUCUGAACUGUGGAUGUCUGAAGCUGUUGAGGAUGUUUCUGAAGCUUUGCGUUUGUUAAAAGGUUUCUGUGAUCCCAGUUGAUGCACAUCUGAGAAAAGGACCUGGAAUUUAUCGCUUUGUUUUUCUUUCUGUUCGUUGGCUGUAGUGAAUCCAACGCUUCAGGAUGUUUUGUUUGAAGCAUGCCGAGGCCUUUAUGCCGUGUUCACGUCAUGCUCACAUUAUCGAUGGUUACAGAGGAAGGCUGCAACUAAAGAUUAUUGUAAUCACUGAUUAAUCUGCAGUUUUCUAGAUUCAUCGAUUUAUCAAAAUGUACAUCCCAUUUUCUCAAAGUCCAAGGGGAAGUCUUCAAAUGUCUUGUUUUGUCAGUCCAAAACCCAAAGAUCUUCACUUUAAUGUUAAAAAAGAACAGAAAAGCAGAAAAUCACCAUAUUUGAGAGGCUGAAAACUAAAUCUUCGGUCAUUUCGGCACGAGAAAUUAGUUUAACGAUUAAUCGAUUCUCAAAGAAGUUGAAUCAUGGAAGCUCUAUAUUACAGUUGGUCACGUGAGGGUUAAACAUACUGUCCAUUCACAAUAUCGCACUAUUAAUAUUAAAUAACCGUUACAAAUGACUACAGACAGGCGUCCAUACAUGUUCUCAGAUUAUUAUGGGCCUAUUAUAUCAGAGCUUUCAUAAUUACGCUUUGGAUGUUCACGUGGAAACAGCUGGUAACGAACUCCAACAUGAAAUGAACGCAGCAUUAGAGUCGCGUUAAGAAAACAAAGAUAUUCAUUUUGUCAAAAAUCAGAUUGAAUUAUUUUUUUUAGAAUUCAGACACUUUUUUUUUUGUGACACUUUAUUUCAUAAUCUGUAAUUUCCUAAUAAUUCUACAGAAAGAACUAUUGUGGGACUAAUUAUCGUGACAAGAGACACGGUGACAAGAGACACGGUGACAAGAGACACGGUGGAACUGGUUCAAAUUCUGCCUAAAUUAGUUUAGUUUAGCAUUUUACUGCACAGCAGGUCAGCUGAACAUGGAAGUGAAAUGUGUCGUUUGGAAAACCACUUCCCUAUUAUUAGUAGCAGAUUACAUAACUAUUUCCAUGACAUUAGGAAAUGAAGGACCCAUAAAAUAAAGUGUUAAAAAGGUUGUUUUCUGUGGUGUAAUAAUUCCACCAUGAACUUUUCUCUCCUGGUCAGAAAACGAGUAAAUGAAAUGAAAUGUUCUGAACCAGGAGACGCUGUAAUAUAGUUUGAUUUUUAACAAGGGAUUUGUUCUUUGAGUUCCUCGAAACUUCUGCAGAAAAUGUUUUUAUUUUUUAUGUUCGAGUCGAGGAGGAGGACAGAUGUGUUUUCUGACUGUCGGAUCUGAUGCAGAACUUCCUGUUAAAGUUUGCCAAUAAAAAUGUUUAAGGCUUCACUUUGUCUCGUUCUUCCUGCCAGUGACUCAGUUGUUGCUGCAGAUUUGGGGCUUUCAAAAUUAAUCC